rnacentral:rRNA from 1 species
UACGAAGGGGGCUAGCGUUGCUCGGAAUCACUGGGCGUAAAGGGUGCGUAGGCGGGUUUUUAAGUCAGAGGUGAAAUCCUGGAGCUCAACUCCAGAACUGCCUUUGAUACUGAAAGUCUUGAGUAUGGGAGAGGUGAGUGGAACUGCGAGUGUAGAGGUGAAAUUCGUAGAUAUUCGCAAGAACACCAGUGGCGAAGGCGGCUCACUGGCCCGAUACUGACGCUGAGGCACGAAAGCGUGGGGAGCGAACAGG